GAUGAACGCUGGCGGCGUGCCUAAUACUUGCAAGUCGAGCGAACAGACGAGGAGCUUGCUCCUCUGACGUUAGCGGCGGACGGGUGAGUAACACGUGGAUAACCUACCUAUAAGACUGGGAUAACUUCGGGAAACCGGAGCUAAUACCGGAUAAUAUAUUGAACCGCAUGGUUCAAUAGUGAAAGACGGUUUUGCUGUCACUUAUAGAUGGAUCCGCGCCGCAUUAGCUAGUUGGUAAGGUAACGGCUUACCAAGGCAACGAUGCGUAGCCGACCUGAGAGGGUGAUCGGCCACACUGGAACUGAGACACGGUCCAGACUCCUACGGGAGGCAGCAGUAGGGAAUCUUCCGCAAUGGGCGAAAGCCUGACGGAGCAACGCCGCGUGAGUGAUGAAGGUCUUCGGAUCGUAAAACUCUGUUAUUAGGGAAGAACAAAUGUGUAAGUAACUAUGCACGUCUUGACGGUACCUAAUCAGAAAGCCACGGCUAACUACGU
rnacentral:rRNA from 1 species